UUUGACUUGUCAGAAAUCCCACCUCAGGGCCUUUGCACUGGCUGCUCCCUCUGCCUACAGUGUUUGUCCUCUGAAUAUUGGCAUAGUUUGCACCUCAUUUCCUUCAGGUGGCUGCUCAAAUGUCAUUAAUAGUGACACCUUCACUGAACAGUUGAUAUAUAAAAUAGCAAUCCCCAUUUCCACCCCCUUCACUCUCCAAUUCUUUAAUAGGCCUUUUUUUCUUAUCCACAGCAUUUACCACCUCUUGGUAUAUUUUUUAUUGUUAUUUAUUUUAGAGUCAUUUUUAAAUUUUCUCUUUCUUAUCAUGAAAAUGGAAGCUCCGUGAGGGAUAGACAAUGAACAAAUAUAUACAUAAAAUAUACAGUAGGUCAGAUGGCAAUAAAUGUGAUGGAUAUCCUGGGGCAGUGGCACAUGCCUGUAGUCCCAGCUACUUGGGAGGCUGAAGCAGGAGGAUAGCUUAAGUUCAGGAGUUCUGGGAUGUAAUGCACUAUGCUGAUAGGGUGUCUGCACUAAGUUCAGCAUCAACAUGGUGACCUCCCAGGAGCAGGGGACCACCAGGCUGCCUAAGGAGGUAUGAACUGGCCGAGAUCAGAAACGGAGCACAUAAAAACUUGCAUCUUGAUCAGUAGUGGGAUUGCGCCUACAAAUAGCCACUGCACUGCAGACUGGGCAACAUAGUGAGACCUUGUCUCUUGAAAAAAUAAUGUGAUGGAGAAAAAUAGAGCAGGGAAUGGGUAUAGGCAGUACUGAGGGGUGCUGUUUUAAACAAGGAAGUUGGAGAAGGUGAUAUUCUAGCAAAGACCUAGAGGAACUGAGAGAGCAAACCAUGAGGAUAUCUGGAGGAAAAGCAUUCCAGGUAGAGAGACCAGUAAAUACAAAGUUCCUGAGGUGGUGACAUGCUGAAAUGUUAGAGGAGCAUCUAGGCAAGCCAGUGCACCUGGAACACAGUGAGUGAGGAGGAAAGUGGUAGGAGAGGAGGUCAAAGAGGACAUAGGGAAACAGACAAUGUAUAGUUUUCUGAGUCAUUUUAAAGACUUUAGAUUUUGCAGGAUUUUGAGCUGAGGAGUUACAUGACCUUAGUAAAACAUUUAGGGAGCUAUAGCAACAAAGGAAGAAGCAGAGAGGCCAGGAAGGAGGCACUGAUAGUGAUCCAUAUCAGAAUAGAGGCAGUGGAGGUGGUGGAAACUGAUUGGACUCUGGAUGUAUUUGGAAGAUAGAACUGGCUGGACUUGGUGUUGACACCUUAGAUGAAUGAUGUGAGGGAAAGAGAAGAGUGAGGAAUAGAAGCCCACAAGGCCCGGAGAAAGAGGGAUUGGCAAUGUGAAACCAGAGCAAAGAGAACUGGCUCUCCUGGAAGCCAAGUAAAGUACUGGGAUUUUAUAAAAGACAGAGUUACCAAGAGUGUAUGUGUCAGAUGCUGCCCAGAAAUCCAGCAAGAUACAGGCAGAAAAGAUGCCAUUGGUUGUGGAUCUGGCAAGUCACUGGUGAUAUGGGCAAGGCCAGUUUAGGACAGAGCUGUAGAUAUACACCAGACUGCCCUGGGGUGUCAAGAGAAUGGUCUGUGAGAAAAGGGAGAAUGUAUACAGCUUCCUUAUUCUAGAAGUUUGACCGCAAAGAUGUGGUAGCUAGAGGGGGCCCUGGUGUUCAGGUUUGUUUUUACAAGAUGGAAGGAUGUGAGUUUGUUUAUGUGCUGAGAGGAAAAGAAAUCAAUCAAGUAGAAGAUACAGGAAACAAG
rnacentral:lncRNA from 1 species